UACAGAGGGUGCAAGCGUUAAUCGGAAUUACUGGGCGUAAAGCGUGCGUAGACGGUUAUGUAAGUCAGGUGUGAAAGCCCCGGGCUCAACCUGGGAAUUGCAUUUGAGACUGCAUAGCUAGGGUGCGGAAGAGGGAAGCGGAAUUUCCGGUGUAGCGGUGAAAUGCGUAGAUAUCGGGAGGAACACCAGUGGCGAAAGCGGCUUCCUGGUCCAGCACCGACGUUCAGGCACGAAGGUGUGGGGAGCGAACGGG
rnacentral:rRNA from 1 species